rnacentral:rRNA from 1 species
UACGGGGGGGGCAAGCGUUGUUCGGAAUUACUGGGCGUAAAGGGCUCGUAGGCGGCCAACUAAGUCGGAUGUGAAAUCCCACGGCUCAACCGUGGACGUGCAUCCGAAACUGCUCGGCUCGAGUAUGGAAGAGGGUCGCGGAAUUCCCGGUGUAGAGGUGAAAUUCGUAGAUAUCGGGAGGAACACCAGUGGCGAAGGCGGCGACCUGGGCCAAUACUGACGCUGAGGUGCGAAAGCGUGGGGAGCAAACAGG